GUGUUGCAGUUGGUAGCCACAGCUAAUUUAGCUCUGCACUUAUUCAUCAGCCUAUUUUACGAUGGGGGAAGAAUUCAGCCAUUGACCUGUCACACGAGUGGAAACAGACCCACAAGACUAAGAACCAUGUGGAAAAUGUUAUGGAUACUCAGAUAAGGGGAUGCUAAACCCUUCCGGGAUGAAUUGGACGGAACUGCAAGAAGUAUGGCAUGAUAUCUGAGCUGCAACUGCACUUAAAUUAGCAGUCCCCUACCUGGUAACCUUAGAUACU
rnacentral:lncRNA from 1 species